UACAGAGGGUGCAAGCGUUGUUCGGAAUUACUGGGCGUAAAGGGCGCGUAGGCGGCAAUUCAAGUCAUCUGUGAAAUCUCCGAGCUUAACUCGGAACGGUCAGAUGAUACUGCUUUGCUAGAGUGCAGAAGGGGCAACCGGAAUUCUUGGUGUAGCGGUGAAAUGCGUAGAUAUCAAGAGGAACACCGGAGGUGAAGACGGGUUGCUGGGCUGACACUGACGCUGAGGCGCGAAAGCUAGGGUAGCAAACGGG
rnacentral:rRNA from 1 species